rnacentral:rRNA from 1 species
UAAUUUCGAUGCAAACGCGAAAAAACCCUUACCUACCCUUGACAUGUCUGGGAAUGCCGAAGAGAUUUGGCAGUGCUCGCAAGAGAACCGGAACACAGGUGCUGCAUGGCUGUCGUCAGCUCGUGUCGUGAGAUGUUGGGUUAAGUCCCGCAACGAGCGCAACCCUUGUCAUUAGUUGCUACGCAAGAGCACUCUAAUGGGACUGCCGGUGACAAGCCGGAGGAAGGUGGGGAUGACGUCAAGUCCUCAUGGCCCUUAUGGGUAGGGCUUCACACGUCAUACAAUGGUCGGGACAGAGGGUCGCCAACCCGCGAGGGGGAGCCAAUCUCAGAAACCCGAUCGUAGUCCGGAUCGCAGUCUGCAACUCGACUGCGUGAAGUCGGAAUCGCUAGUAAUCGCGGAUCAGAAUGUCGCGGUGAAUACGUUCCCGGGUCUUGUACACACCGCCCGUCACACCAUGGGAGUGGGUUCACCAGAAGUAGGUAGCCUAACCGUAAGGAU